AGAGUUUGAUCAUGGCUCAGGAUGAACGCUAGCGGCAGGCCUAACACAUGCAAGUCGAACGGUCCUUCCCGCAAGGGAAGGAUAGUGGCGAACGGGUGAGUAACGCGUAAGUAACCUGCCCCUAAGUAAGGAAUAACUCCGAGAAAUUGGAGCUAAUACCGUAUGUGAUGGUGGAGGUAGUGCUCCAUCAUUAAAGCCUUCGGGCGCUUGGGGAGGGGCUUGCGUCCGAUUAGCUAGUUGGUAGAGUAAGGGUCUACCAAGGCGACGAUCGGUAGCUGGUUUGAGAGGACGGCCAGCCACACUGGGACUGAGACACGGCCCAGACUCCUACGGGAGGCAGC
rnacentral:rRNA from 1 species